GCCCUCGGCCUCCCCGGUAGCCCCGGUAGCCCCGGUCCCCUCGGCCCGACGGGGUCCGCACCCCCCGGGAGUCCGCACCCCCGGGGGGGCACUGCCAAAGCGGCAGCCCCCCCGGUGCCCCCGGGAUGCGGGUGAGCGCCGCGGAGCUGCGGGGCUUUGCUCCUCGCCGGGAAAUCUUUUAUCUCAUCGCGGUGCCCGCUGCUCGGGGAGGUGUUUUCGAGUGAGCCGGUGCUGGCCGAGGGAGCAGGAAUGGGUUUAGUUCAGCCAUCUUUAGGUGCACGGGUUACCCCUUCUGACCCCACUCCCGUUUCUGGGCUGCUCAAAGUUAGACCCAGCACCGUGUUAUAGCUUGUUUUCGGUGCCAAAUUCUUAACCAGUUUUAGCUAGCAUCUCAAAGGUCCUUUCCCUCCCCAACCCUGUGGAUAGUUUCUUCGCUGUUAUCCUCAGAACAAGCCCGACAUCCUUUCUCACCCAUUAGGCUGCGACUGUUCGUCCUCGCCAAGUGAAGAAAAUGACUUGGGUUUGCACUUAUGCUGUCUUUCCAGGAAAAGAGGACAGAUAAAAUGCAACAACUUAGUUUACAAGCUCACCUUGUUCAACACAACUGGAGCCAGACUUUUCAGAACAGAUUGGUAUUCUUCAGUUCCCCAAGAUAAGGGCUGUUUAUUUUGAAAGGAAUGAAUGGCCAAUUAGGCUGUGAAGGCGUGCUGCAGCCUGCCAUUUCUCUUGUCAAUAACUUGGAAGAAAGAAGAGAAGCUUUUUGGAAAAAAAUCUCUGCUAAGGGCUACUUUCCACUGGGAUCCAGUCCACAGCAUAUUCACAGAAGCACUUGUCUUGCUGCAGCAGAGCGUGGUGGAGGUGGGAGGAAGAAGGUCUGCCUGGGAGCUGGCAACCCCACACCUCAAAUCACCACUGGGAAGACAGUCCAUGGAAAUGCAUCCUCCUCCCGCUUCAAGUCUUACCUGUAUUUGGCAGUGGGAUUUAAGGAAGAAGCAGACAGACAAAGGAACAGAAUGUGCCAUGAAAGAUAGAGAGUUGACCUUAAAAUGGAAUUUGUUCCUGAAGAUUUCCUUCUCCUAAACGAGUGCAGCAAAAUGAAACCCAGCUCAUGUUAAGAGCUGAGAACACGAGUGCCUUGUGUAAGUAACACAAAUCCUGGGAGAGACUGAACUCAGCUACUGUGUCAUUCAGUGUAGCUAUGAAGCUGCUUGGAGAUGAACUUGACAACACAACUGAUCCUUGUAAAGUGGUACUCUGAACCUCUAAGUCAUCUUACCCUAAUGGUUUCCUGUGUUUGCUCUGCUUCCAAGUGAAGCAAAUAUUGCUUCAUUUAAAAGAAAAGUCUUCAUCCCCAAACGACACAGAUUUGAAUCUAAGUUGAUAUGGGCAUGUAAUGCAGAUGUCUAAGAUGGAGUCCAAUAACAGAGUAUUCAGAUUUGAAAGACCAAGCAGAGCACAUGAACUCAUCAAGAGGUUGAAGUCUGUGGGAGAUGUCCCUCGUGUCAAGAUUUCCUUGCCAAUUUCUCUAGUAUAUGGAGUAAUUCCCAAGACAUCCUGUCAGCCUCAGGUACAGCUUGGGAAGAUCCACUCAGUGAGAUAUAAUCCCAGCAAGAUUCAUGGCUGCUAGUGGCUCAGCAGUGGGAAGUUACAGCUGCUGAGGACUUUGUGAGAUCCAACAAGUCAGCGGGUCCCAGGAAAUGACAAGGAGAAAGAAGAUCGGGUAAAGAAGAUAGAACCAUAGGUAAAGAAUGUCAGGUAAUGAGUGAUGGAAAACUGAGGAGUAAAAAGUUUCAUAAUCAUCCUGCAGUGGAAAAUGAACAUUCGAGACCACAGGGGUUACUGACUGUGUUGGGACUGCUCAAAGCCAUGUUAUGCUGUUUUUUUAAAUUCAUGAGUGACUGAAAACACAACUGGAUAUCAGGUAAUCCUAUGUUCUCAUGGGAGGCCUAAUGUGUUAUUUCAUUAAAACACUCAGCCAUUUUUAA